rnacentral:rRNA from 1 species
UACGUAGGGGGCGAGCGUUGUCCGGAUUUAUUGGGCGUAAAGAGCGUGUAGGCGGCCAGGUAGGUCUGCUGUGAAAACUCGAGGCUCAACCUCGAGACGUCGGCGGAAACCAUCUGGCUAGAGUCCGGAAGAGGAGAGUGGAAUUCCUGGUGUAGCGGUGAAAUGCGCAGAUAUCAGGAAGAACACCCGUGGCGAAGGCGGCUCUCUGGGACGGUACUGACGCUGAGGCGCGAAAGCGUGGGUAGCAAACAGG